rnacentral:rRNA from 1 species
AUUGAACGCUAGCGGGAUGCUUUACACAUGCAAGUCGAACGGAGUGGCGGACGGGUGAGUAAUAUAUCGGAACGUGCCCAGUAGCGGGGGAUAACUACUCGAAAGAGUGGCUAAUACCGCAAACUAUUGUAACGGCAGAUAUGGGAUUAGCUAGUGGGUGGGGGAAAGGCUCACCAAGGCAACGAUCCGUAGCUGGUUUGAGAGGACGACCAGCCACACGGGGACUGAGACACGGCCCAGACUCCUACGGGAGGCAGCAGUGGGGAAUUUUGGACAAUGGGGGAAAGCCUGAUGCAGCCAUCCCGCGUGUAUGAAGAAGGCCUUCGGGUUGUAAAGUACUUUUGGCCGAGAAGCGUUAUCUGCAAAAUAAGCACCGGCUAACUACGUGCCAGCAGCCGCGGUAAUUC